UACGUAGGGUGCGAGCGUUGUCCGGAAUUAUUGGGCGUAAAGGGCGUGUAGGCGGUUGCGUAAGUGGAAUGUGAAAUCCCCCGGCUUACCCGGGGACCUGCAUCCCAAACUGCGCGACUUGAGUAUGGGAGAGGAUGAGGGAAUUCCUGGUGUAGCGGUGAAAUGCGUAGAUAUCAGGAGGAACACCGGUGGCGAAGGCGCUCAUCUGGCCCAAUACUGACGCUGAGGCGCGAAAGCUAGGGUAGCGAACGGG
rnacentral:rRNA from 1 species